rnacentral:lncRNA from 1 species
AUUUUUAAGAAUUUUUUAUUUCUAUUUAUGUGCGAACAUGAAUGAAUAUGUUGGAUUGCCUGAAGCUGGAGUCAUAGGUGCUUGUGAGCUGCCUGGUAUGGGAGCUACAAACCAAACCCAGGUUCUAAGAACAGUACAUGUUCUUUUGUUUUGUUUUUGAUACACAGUCUUGCUUUAUAGCCCAGGCUGGCCUUAAUCCUCCUGCUUCUGUACCAUGUCUGAUUCUCUUUUCAACCUUAUUUACUUUAUUUAUUUAUUUAAUUUUAUUUUUCAAGACAAGAUUUCUCUAUGUAAUGGAGCCCUCCCUGGCUGUCCUGGAACUCAGUUUGUAUACCAGGCUGGCCUGGAACUCACAGAUUAAAGGCAUGCACCACACCCUGAGUAUGAAUGUUUGCCUGUAUGUAUGUCUGUGCAUCACAAGCAUGCAGUCCCAUAGGGGCCAGAAGAGGGCAUCAGAUCACAUGGAUCUGGAAAAGUAGUUGUGAAGAACCAUGUGGUUGCUGGGAAUUGAACUUGGAUCCUUUGAAGAGCAGCUAAACUGCUGAGCCACUUCUCCUGCCCCCAGGCCUCACUUCUGAUAUUGUUGGGAUUUGCUUCAAAACAUAGGUUACAGGGCUGGUGAUGCAGCUCACUGGAGUCUUUGCUUAGCACAUCAAAGCCCUGGUUUCAAUCUCCAACACUAUACAAAACCAAAAAGUACCAUACAGUGCCGAGCUGCUUGCUACUUAAAAGGCUGAGGAGGGAUGGCUGCUUGAAUCUGGGAGCUUAAGACUAUGCUAGGUGAUAGUGAGACUUUCUUUCAAAUACAAAACAAACAGAUGGGGAAAAAAAAAAACCCUCAAUACCCAGGCUUGGAGGCACAGAGUCAUCUUAGCUCUCUCAGCAUAGAGGCAGGAGUCACACAGCUAACCGAAACUACAAAGCAAGACCCCAUCUUAAACAAUAAAUGGCAAAAGGCCAUUUGGGAACGAGAGGCCUGAGCUGUUCAUCUCUCCUCAAGAACAGCAGGGGUUAGGUUCCGAAGUCACUGUGAGUACAGGCUGCCUCGGAAGUAUGUCAGUUCACUCUGUCUCCGGAUGCAUUCACCUGCUCCACAGAGCCUAUGCACAUCCUCCUUACCCCAUCCCCAUGUCCCGGGCUCUAGGUUCACUGUGCUCAGCUGAUCUCUGCCUGUUAGACUUCAGUGUGCUUCCUUCAGUCUCACUUCAGUCUCCCUCUCUAAAGGAAAGUGCUGAGCCAGGGACCUGGAUCCCUAAUGUUGAGCUGGGUGGCGAUAACACAGGACCCUGAUGGAGCAGCACAAUCAAUUCUCUCCUCUUGCUUCACACUCUGAAAUUCUCUUUCAGUUGUGUCUGAUGGAAUAGGACAUUCCUGCUGAGACCCUAGUAAAUGUAAAUUUCCAUUUACCUGGUUAAUCUAGAUAAGAUAUAAGCUUCUGUAGCUAGAGCAGGUACAGGAUCUGGGAGGAAAGCAGGAGAACAAGUUGAAUUCUAGCUGGGCACAGCAAGAUCUUGUUUCCAGAAACAAAACCCAGCUGAGGCUACAACACAGCACAGUAGAACAGUGUCUGCCUCACGAGCAUAGUGCCCUGGGUUCAAUCCCCAGAAAAGGCAAGACC